rnacentral:lncRNA from 1 species
CAUCAAGGAAGCCAAGACAGAGUAACUAAAAACACUCAUGAAAAAGGAAUUCCAAGGCUGCUUCAAAAAGUAUCAAGAAAUGAUGAGGCACAGCAGAUGAAUUUCUCUAACAUACAAUUUGGAACACAAAAGUUUGGUACUCAACAUAAGAGCCGUAUUUGAAUAAACAUGCUAUCCAAACAGAGGCUCCAUUAGUGAAAAGAUUCCAGCAAGUAUAUCCCUGUUGAGAAGAGC